GACUCUGAACCUUCAGAGUUAUCAGAGACAGAGCUAUAAAUAGAGGCUCACAGUGCACAGGGCUGUUCAGCACCACAGUGCUGGGUGGCUCCUCCAGUGCCCCGAAUCUUGAGGGCUAUGCCCGCAGCCAUGGCAAAAAGCUACCACCUGCCAGUCCGAAGCACCGAGAUGAUCCUUCCCGCCAGAAGAAACUUGUACUGGGAGAUCAACACCAGCUAGUGCGUUUCUCUAUAAAGCCUCAACGUAUAGGACAGAUUUCACAUGCCCAGAGGCUGUUGAGCAGGUUUCAU
rnacentral:sRNA from 1 species